rnacentral:tRNA from 1 species
AGAAAGAUGGCUGAGAGGUCUAAAGCUACAAAUUGCUAAUUUGUUUUUACAAAAAUAAAAUUUUAAUGUAACAAGGGUUCAAAUCCCUUUCUUUCUA